CGGCACGGGUGAGUAACACGUAUGCAAUCCACCUGUAACAGGGGGAUAACCCGGAGAAAUCCGGACUAAUACCCCAUAAUAUGGGCGCUCCGCAUGGAGAGCCCAUUAAAGAGAGCAAUUUUGGUUACAGACGAGCAUGCGCUCCAUUAGCCAGUUGGCGGGGUAACGGCCCACCAAGCCGACGAUGGAUAGGGGUUCUGAGAGGAAGGUCCCCCACAUUGGUACUGAGACACGGACCAA
rnacentral:rRNA from 1 species